rnacentral:rRNA from 1 species
GAUGAACGCUGGCGGCGUGCCUAAUACAUGCAAGUCGAGCGAACAGACGAGGAGCUUGCUCCUCUGACGUUAGCGGCGGACGGGUGAGUAACACGUGGAUAACAUACCUAUAAGACUGGGAUAACUUCGGGAAACCGGAGCUAAUACCGGAUAAUAUAUUGAACCGCAUGGUUCAAUAGUGAAAGACGGUUUUGCUGUCACUUAUAGAUGGAUCCGCGCCGCAUUAGCUAGUUGGUAAGGUAACGGCUUACCAAGGCAACGAUGCGUAGCCGACCUGAGAGGGUGAUCGGCCACACUGGAACUGAGGCACGGUCCAGACUCCUACGGGAGGCAGCAGUAGGGAAUCUUCCGCAAUGGGCGAAAGCCUGACGGAGCAACGCCGCGUGAGUGAUGAAGGUCUUCGGAUCGUAAAACUCUGUUAUUAGGGAAGAACAAAUGUGUAAGUAACUAUGCACGUCUUGACGGUACCUAAUCAGAAAGCCACGGCUAACUACGUG